rnacentral:rRNA from 1 species
UACGUAGGGUGCGAGCGUUGUCCGGAAUUAUUGGCGUAAAGGGCUCGUAGGCGGUUUGUCGCGUCGGGAGUGAAAUCCACUGGCUUAACUGGUGGCUUGCUUUCGAUACGGGCAGACUGGAGGUAUGCAGGGAGAACGGAAUUCCGUGUGAGCGGUGAAAUGCGCAGAUAUCAGGAGGAACACCAGUGGCGAAGGCGGUCUC